rnacentral:tRNA from 1 species
GUCUUUUUAGUACAAUUAGUAUAAAUGACCUCCAAUCAUUUGAUCUUAGUCAACAGUCUAAGAAAAGACA